rnacentral:siRNA from 1 species
UGCCUGGGUGUCACAAAUCGU